ACAAAGCGCCGGGUGAGUGUUCAUAUCUGCCAUUUUAAAAUAAUGUUAAUAAAUGUAAUUCUGUCCACUAUGGCAAAAUAGGAUUUUAUUUUAGAUUUAGUGGAAUCUUUAACCAAGUCUCUGAUUAAGACAUGUGUAUACGUGCACAGAUGGUGACAGAGAAACUUAUAUAUGACGUUAAUAAUCUUUUAAAUGUUUUUAAGAUGUAUUCACCCCAUUUUGGGGUUUUAUUUUUAAUUAAAGGCUUCUUAAAACAUGUGUGAAUAUGUGUAUAUUAUACAAAGAGUCUUAUAUUGUCUGCUCUGACAAAAAUAAAGUAUUUUUUUAGGUUUAGGGGAAUUGACUGCGUGUGUCUUAUAAAUACAACUUGAUAAUACGUUUGUUUUGUAAAGAGACUUCUUUAAAGUCACGCAAGAAUAAAAUAUUUUAGUUGUAACUGGUUAAACUUAAAGCCGAUAUUUUCUAUCGAACUAGUCUAUUUUCUGUUCAGACACAAAGUUUUCUGAUGCUGAUAUUAUGUCAGUGUGUGUUUGUGUGGGGGUCGUGUGAUGUAAUCUUUGAAAGUUUAUGACCGAACCUUUAUUGGGGAGCGACAAGAGAUCUCCCGAAAACAGUUUGGAUGGAGCAGAGCUGUUAUACUCAAGUCUAUUGGUAUGUAUGUGUUUCGCUGUGUUCGUUCCAGUAUUUUGUAUGAUUUAUUUAAAAACUAAAAAUUCGAUCUCUGGUAUUGCAGCGAAAUUGUCUAAACUGGUAUUAACUAUUCCUGGUAAAUCGCGGAGAAGAGUGGCCUGAACAAAAAAGUCAGACCGAGACUAGAACCACCCGCAGCGUAACACGGAAAUCUUGGAACAAAAGAGACGCCGACUGGCUCGUGUUGUCCGGUUUGGAUAUCAGAGGCAAAACGAACGUUGUGUGUACUAUUGCAAAAUAUAUAGCGGAUCUCCACGGUUAGGAUACAGACCACAACGCUUUGGACGUAUCUUUAAAAAAGAGAAAAAUCGGAGACUUUUUGGAUUUGUCUGGGACAUUUUAAACAUUUUGUGGCAAAUUGGAUUUAAAACGUUUCGGAUACUGGAUACAUGUGUCGGAUUUGUCCACAGUGCUUGUUUAAGACGUCUUCACCUCAUUUUAGGGUUUAUUUUUAAUUAAAGGCUUCUUAAAACAUGUGUGAAAAUGUGUAUAUUAUACAAAGAGUCUUAUAUUGUCUGCUCUGACAAAAAAAUAAAUUAUUAUUUUAGAUUUUAGGACAAAUGUCUGCGUGUAUCUUAUAAAUACAACUUGAUAAUACGUUUGUUUUGUCAAGAGACUUUUUUAAAGUCACGCAAGAAUAAAAUAUUUUAGUUGUAACUGGUUAUACUUAAAUCUGUUAUUAUCUAUUUAACUAUAAGCUAUAAUUUUCUGAUAAGCCUUAAACAGAAGCUGCGCUGUGAGCGUCUGGGUGUUUGAGAUAAUUCACAUUAGGGGGCUGCUUGUAAACUAGUGUCUUUUAAAACCGCCGUGGUAAUAUGUAAUAUGGUAACUCUGUCAAAAAGUAAAAGGUUUAUUUUAGAUCACACCCUAUUUUAUGGCAAACAAUGCAGUAUCUAAAAGUUUGUAACAACACAAUUUUAUUUAAUGAAAUAUUCAGCAUGGGUAUAGCAAUGAACUGUGCCAAAACCACCGGGGGCCGCCAAUAACACAGUCUUUAGGUUAAGGCUUUUUAUUUUUAACUAAAUAAAAUCUUAAUCUUUUCAUGCACAAUAUUCUGUUCACACCAUUAGAUUGCGGUCCUGCGCUUGCAAUAGAGAACAUAAGCGGAUGCGUGUUCAUAUCCAUACGUUAAGAAAUCGUCCAUAUGUCAAUUCAUCUUCUGGGGUUUGUUUUAAAAAAAAAAAUGACACAUUAAAAUCAACUGUGAAUAUGUGUUUAUUACACAAUAAAAUGUAAUUCUGUUCGCACCGGUAUAAUAGGGGUUUUAUUUUAGAUUUGGGACUUUCUUUAACCAAGUCUCUGAUUAAAACAUGUGAAUGCGUGUACCAAAGUUGUCAGAAAACGUAUGCUGAUGCGCUCUUAUAUAUGGUGUUAAGAGCCUUUUAAACGUUUUAAGACAUUUCACACCCUCUUCUGGGUUGAAUUCAUUAAUGUCAUCUAACAUCCACAAGUGUAGGCUAUUUAUAAAUG